GCUGCCUGUCUGCAGUGGGCUGAUUCAGCUUGUUCCCGGCCCUGCUAAUUUUUGAAAGGCUGUUGUCAAAGCCAAGUGGAGCUGUCAAUCAGGGAAGUCACGUGAGGGUCCCAGGAGUCAUCAUGAUUGCCUCACUCCAGGCUUUUGUUCCAGGAGUGAGGAUGAUAUUUGCGAGCUGGUAGGCACCUUGUCCUGCCCACCUGUCCCUCAUGCUUGCUGUGCACUUCUGGAGGGUUGGGACUGAUGGGGAGUCAGAGGCUCAAUAGGGGCAGUGACGGGUCUUUGACUACAGUGGCAGGGCCAGGGAACAGGCAGCUCCUGCUCCAGGCUCUUUACCUCCUGUAGGCCACUUUCACCCUGUUGGUGAUGAGGCCAGCUUCAGCCUGCUGCAGAUCCAUUUCCUUCUCUGUAAAUGCCUUUUUCUGUUUUCAUGAUCUAUCCAAGGUCCUGUGGCCAAAAGAUCCCAGGGUGAGGGCCCAAACCAGGCCUCAUGUGCUACUAUUCCUCACUCUGUAAGGGAAGGACACAGGAAGGAUCAGAGCCAUGGAGGAGAGGAAAAGGACUUCUGAAAUCAAAGCUCAUGUUCCUAAGUACUUACAGUGCCCCGGGCUAAGUUGUACUUUGUAGUACUACCUGGAAAGUAGGUACCGGAAUCCUACCCAUUUUACAAAGAGGAAGCAAGGCAUGUCUUGAUGAAGCACCUGCUUGGAUCACCUACUUGGGCUGGGGUGGAGUUGGGAUUCCAACCCAGGAGGCAGAAUAGUAAGCCUGCCCUUAGUCACUUCACUCAACGACAGUGGCGUUAAAUCUUUCAUCUGUUUAUAUUAGACCUGGGGAAACUGAGGCCCUGCAUAUGAGUCAUUUCCAGCAGGAAUAUUGGAAGCCGAACACCCACAUGGCUCGGACCCUGUGAAGAGGUUCUGGGAGAGGGCUCCUUGGGUUGGCCCUUUGCUGUCUGUUUGUGACAAGCCCUUGACACCCUAAACAGUGGUGUCCUGGAGAAACAAGGAUGAUAGGCAGAGGCCCUGGCACAGUGGCUGUGACCAGAUCAGAGAAUGACUGGGAAGGAGAGGCUCAGGGAUGGGGCUGUGCUUCAUGCCCAGUCAGAAGAGCUCGCAGUGGGGCGAAGAGGGUACAGGGAAUUUCUUGCUGGGGUGCACAGGACUGGCUUCUGCCUCUCACAGCUGAGCAAGUGCAUGGCUGGGGUAGGACCACAGCAGCUAGGGGUUAGAGUUAAUUUCCCAUUCCCUGGUAAGAAUUGAGCAGCUACAUGUGCUCUGGAAUUGUUAGCAAGUGUACAGCAAGUAGACACUGAACAGGCAGUGUUGCUGACUCCUGGGCAGAGGGGACUUGGGACAUUAGGGCACUUCCUGUGGAGGACAGCAAAGGAGGCUUGGCGGAAAUGAUUUCCAAGAUGAACCUUGAAAUAUGAAGAGGAGCAAUGCAGGCAGAGGGAACAGCCUGGGCUAAGGCUCCGAGGCCUUGGUGGUUUCCUGCUCUAAAUGCCAGUCUCACCAUCCUAACAGCAGAGGUAGGAGUGGCCACGUUAUGACAACCUGCAUUCUGCUCACAUGAGCCAGCUUCCUUGUGGAUGAGUCAAAAGGCCUCCCUUGUGGCCUCUCCGAAGGGUGGGGUCCCGUGGAGCUGCCAAGGCCUCCCACCCCCACAGCACAGUGUCACCACUUUCACAGCCACCACCCUCCUGGAGCCAAGAAGUGAAGAAAUUGGUUAAACAAGGAAGAGACACACCCUCAGCUCAGAUUUGCUUGGAAGGCCAGUGAUUUCCACUCUUUCUUUUCAAAACAACCACACAGUUCUGGGACCCAAAUGUUGAUUGUCCUCAUGGAGGAAUGAGUCUCUGUCCACAGCAAGAACAUUCCAGAAAUGUCCAUCCAGCAUCGUCAGUGCGCCAGACAUCCAGGAGGGCCCACAGAUGGACCACACCUUGUCCAUGUUCCCAGGACGCUCCCUCCUACAAAACCACACACCCGAUGAUGGGCCAGGAGGUCUUGGAUGAACCCAGAAACUGGCUCUGAGCCCCAACUUUCCCUGUUGGUCCAUGCCACCCCUCUCCACCUUAUACCAGACUCACCCUGGAGGGAUGGCUGCCCCCUCCAAAUCCCACCCCAGAUUCCUAGCUGGCUCCAGAGACUCCGUGGAGUAGUGUGACUACCCACAGGGACCUAGCAUCUCCAGGCUCCACCACAGCCAAGUUUAGCUCUGCACCCUGUCGCCCAGAUGCUCCUGCUCACCAGCCUCCCAACCUCUCCCACCCAGUUCUUGCACCCUCAGAAGGGUGGCCUGAGAGAAGACGCCCUCCGAGCACCAUGUCACCAUGCUGUCCUUGUGCUUUUUACCAGGGAAGUCAAGGUCAAGCCCUGGGUGGGUGCUGGACUGGGAGACAGGAUAGCUGGCCCUUGUUUGGCCCAUCUCUGACUGCUCCAUGACUCCAGGCAAGUUACUGAACUCAGCACCAGGGGUUGCAGAACUGACCACAGAUGGCCUAGACUCAGCAGAAGAAAUGACUGAUGUGGGCAAGUUUUGGAAAGCAAAGUACUACAACAAAUGAAAGUGUUUGGCCUAGGUGUUCGAUUAGUUUCUAAUUUUCUCUCAGUUUGAUUUCACCUGAUCCCUUUCCUUCCCCACGAAGGAUAAUUAAUCAUGAAACCACUUAGGGAGCUCCUACCAUGUCCCAAGUACACUAUCAACAUCAUUCCCAAAGUGAGAGAUUUUACAGAAGAGGGGACCCAGGCUCAGAUCGACAGAGGAGACUCUUCGUUCUCCCCUUGGACAUCUGCGCUGGUUUCCUUCCUCCUGUGCAGUGUGGACUCUUACGAAGGUCCUGGGAUCCACCCCUUGCCUGAUGGAUGUGCACACCAUGCUGUGGACCUCUCCUAGCAGCUGGGGUGUGUGUGUGUGUGUGUGUGUGUGUAGGGGACAGAGGAGGGGACACAAAGUACCAGGACCCACAGCUUUCUGGGCUUCCUUGGUGAGUGAGCAGGAGCUUAGCUCAUGGUUCUUUUCUAUCCAUGCCUGGUCAUUUAAAAGUGCCAACUCUUAGUGUGCUUCUUUGGGAGCCCUACAUCCCCUUCUCUCCAUUUCCCUGUGUUAGUACCCUUGAAAACCAGCCCUGAGAAUCUUCUCUUUUAAAGGGACACCUAGGGAGGCCAUGAAAGCCAGGUGUCACUGUCCCGGCAGCCUGAGCGGUGUCCAUGUGCAGCUGCCGCAGAGCUGGCCGUGUUGUCAUGGUGAACUAGGCCAGGGGUCUCAGCUCACAGUGGCUCAAGGUCAUCAUCCAUGUGCCAGCUACUCCAGAUAAUUCAGACUGUCCCUCUCCCAUGGGAGACCCUUUUGGUCUCCCAAGUGUGGGGCCUAGUAGCUUCCUUCAGCCUUGAUCUCUCUGCCUUCCUGCCUCUGUGGCUCAGCCUCCGCUCAGGGCCUGCCCUGCUCUGCACCUUGGCAGGUCCAGUAGCCAGACCAGUUGCCCGGGUUGGGGUGGCAUUCCUGGUGUCCCUGCAGAGGACCCAUCUAUGUUGCUUUUGCCAGCUCCUGUGAGGGCCCGUGGCUUCCUAGCGUUCCACUUGGAUUGUGCAUCUGUCCUUGGAGCCUCUGGUCACUCCAGUGGCACCAGUGACCAUGAAGUGGGCUGUGUGGUGAGCACUGCAACCUUGUGUGGCUAUAUGGGGUACUUUAGUUUUGCUUCCUUGGUAACAUCUUCCGGUUUCCAACCUCUCAGUGUGGAUUUCUGCAUCAUGAGCACCAAGACUGGCACCACCAGGAAUAUUUGCUGAGCAGGUAAAUGAGGGCAUUUAGGAAGAUCCCUUGAGGAAUAAUAAGUGGUGGAGCCCAGUCUUCAGGAGCUGCAGGAAUUUCCUAGGUGAAUAAAGGGUGAUGAAAUCUGUGCCAGUAGAAGACACAUGAGCAAGGACUUGGGGUGUAAGUGAGAGAGAGUGAGUACUGGGCAGCUAGUGGAGAAGCUCCCUGAGCUCAUGAGUAAGGCAAGAACAGGCCGGAAAUGGGGUGCAGGUGAGAUCACUGGGAAAGAAAGGGUAAAUUGGAGAAUUCGGAUAGCUCUGAAGGCCACACUUGGAGAUUUAGACCCGAACUUGCUAAGAGUCACUGGGAAUUUUUCAGAAAGGGAAUGAUAGUAUUUUAUUUACUUAGUUUUUAGGUCAGUUUCCAUGGAAGUGAAUAGAACACAGACUAAUCUCGGGAAUUCUAGAGCUAGGAGGAUAUCUGGAGCAUUCAAAGGCACACAGGGUAUAGCCUUUAAAAAUACAUAUUUAAUAAAGCCCCAAAUAGCAAUAAAAGGACCAGCAAACCUAAAGACAAGCUACAGUGAGAACAAUGGAUUUUCAAAUUAUUCUGUUAUUUACAUGGAAUCAAAGAGAUCACCUUCCUGGAAGGACCCGCCUGUUAAUUCCAGUGGCGAUACUGGAGUGGAUUGAACUCUACUUUACUUUUUGCUAGAUCAAAAUAAUUUGAUGUUUUCAUGAGCGGCUCAUGCAGCCAUCAGAAGAUAAUUAUUCAGGAAAUAAAGAGUGAGUCUCUUAGCCUUA